UUUUAGAAAUUAAUUUAAAGUCUAACCUGCCCACUGAAUUUUUUUAAAUGGCCGCAGUAUCCUAACUGUGCAAAGGUAGCAUAAUCAUUAGUCUUUUAAUUAAAGGCUGGAAUGAAUGGUUGAAUGAAAUAUUAACUGUUUCAUAUAAAUUUAUAAUAAAAUUUUAUUUUUUAGUCAAAAAGCUAAAAUAUAAUUAAAAGACGAGAAGACCCUAUAAAUCUUUAUAUUUUUAAAAUUUUAAUUAUAUAGAUUAAUUAAAUUAUUAUUUUUAAAAAUAUUUUAUUGGGGUGAUAUUAAAAUUUAAUAAACUUUUAAUUUAUAAUUAACAUAAAUUAAUGAAUUAUUGAUCCAUUUAUUAUGAUUAAAAAAUUAAGUUACUUUAGGGAUAACAGCGUAAUUUUUUUAGAGAGUUCAUAUUGAUAAAAA
rnacentral:rRNA from 1 species